rnacentral:rRNA from 1 species
AGUGGAGCCUGCGGCUUAAUUUGACUCAACACGGGAAACCUCACCAGGCCCGGACACCGGAAGGAUUGACAGAUUGAGAGCUCUUUCUUGAUUCGGUGGGUGGUGGUGCAUGGCCGUUCUUAGUUGGUGGAGCGAUUUGUCUGGUUAAUUCCGAUAACGAACGAGACUCUAGCCUGCUAACUAGGCGUAUUUCGACAUCCCAAAGGCCCGCCGGUUUGGUUGCUUCGGCUUCCUUAUCACGCGCGGUUUUUACUGUCGGCGUACAAACAAUUCUUCUUAGAGGGACAGGCGGCAUUUAGCCGCACGAGAUUGAGCAAUAACAGGUCUGUGAUGCCCUUAGAUGUUCUGGGCCG